rnacentral:misc_RNA from 1 species
CUGAAAAACUAUCUUUAGUUUUUUAACAUCCCAUUGUUUACCUACCUCGUUGCUUCCACUGGACUGGCCUCACUUUCAGUGGGCCCUUUGGCUUGUUGCUAACAGCACUUGCCACGGAGUUGCCAGUGUUAAGACUCUAUUACAAAACUUGAUAGAAAAAACAAAGUCUGAUUUUUCUCCAAAUGAAAUA